UACGUAGGAGGCAAGCGUUGUCCGGAGUUACUGGGCGUAAAGGGCGCGUAGGCGGCCUGGCAAGUGGAAGGUGAAAUCCCUCGGCUUAACCGAGGAACUGCCCUCCAAACUGCUUGGCUUGAGUCCGGGAGAGGUGAGUGGAAUUCCCAGUGUAGCGGUGAAAUGCGUAGAUAUUGGGAGGAACACCUAUGGCGAAGGCAGCUCGCUGGGACGUUACUGACGCUGAGACGCGAAAGCGUGGGGAGCAAACAGG
rnacentral:rRNA from 1 species